rnacentral:lncRNA from 10 species
CAGCUUGAAAAAUAAAGGGACAGAGUACAAAAGAGAGAAAUUUUAAAGCUGGGCAUCCGGGGGAGACAUCACAUGUCGGUAGGUUCUGUGAUGCCCCACAAGCCGUAAAACCAGCAAGUUUUUAUUAGGGAGUUUCAAAAGGGGAGGGAGUAUACGAAUAGGGUGUGAGUCACACACAUCAAGUACUUCACAAGGUAACAGAAUAUCACAAGGCAAAUGGAGGCAGGGCGAGAUCGCGAGAUCACAGGACCACAGGACCACAGGACCAGGGUGAAAUUAAAAUUGCUAAUGAAGUUUCAGGCACCACUGUCAUUGAUAACAUCUUAUCAGGAGACAGGGUUUUGAGAGCAACCGGUCUGACCAAAAUUUAUUAGGCAGGAAUUUCUUCUUCCUAAUAAGCCUGGGAGCGCUAUGGGAGACUGGGGUCUAUGUCACCCCUACAGUCUACAGACCAUAAAAGACGGCCACAUGCAGGGGGCCAUCUAUAGACCUACCCCCAGGCGCGUAUUCUCCUUCCCAGGGAUGUUCCUUGCUGAGAAAAAGAAUUCAGCGAUAUUUCUCCCAUUUGCUUUUGAAAGAAGAGAAAUAUGGCUUUGUUCUGCCCAGCUCACCGGCGGUCAGAGUUUAAGGUUAUCUCUCUUGUUUCCUAAACAUUGCUGUUAUCCUGUUCUUUUUUCAAGGUGCCCAGAUUUCAUAUUGUUCAAACACACAUGCUCUACAAUUUGUGCAGUUAAUGCAAUUAUCACAGGGUCCUGAGGCGACAUACAUCCUCUUCAGCUGACAGGAUUAAGAGAUUAAAGUAAAGACAGGCAUAGGAAAUCACAAGGGUAUUGAUUAGGGAAGUGAUAAGUGUCCAUGAAAUCUUUACAAUUUAUGUUUAGAGAUUGCAGUAAAGACAGGCAUAAGAAAUUAUAAAAGUAUUAAUUUGGGGAACUAAUAAAUGUCCAUGAAAUCUUCACAAUCCAUGUUCUUCUGCCAUGGCUUCAGCCAGUCCCUCCAUUUGGGGUCCCUGACUUCCCGCAAC